rnacentral:rRNA from 1 species
UACAGAGGGGGCAAGCGUUAUUCGGAAUUAUUGGGCGUAAAGGGCGCGUAGGCGGCCUGGCAAGUGGAAGGUGAAAUCCCUCGGCUUAACCGAGGAACUGCCCUCCAAACUGCUUGGCUUGAGUCCGGGAGAGGUGAGUGGAAUUCCCAGUGUAGCGGUGAAAUGCGUAGAUAUUGGGAGGAACACCAGUGGCGAAGGCGGCUCACGGGACCGGAACUGACGCUGAGGCGCGAAAGCGUGGGGAGCAAACGGG